CCCUUAGAUGUUCUGGGCCGCACGCGCGCUACACUGAUUCAUGCAACAAGUUUUGUCCUUGGCUGAUAGGCCUGGGUAAUCUUUGAACGUGAAUCGUGAUGGGGAUAGAUGAUUGCAAUUAUUCAUCUUCAACGAGGAAUUCCUAGUAAACGCAAGUCAUCAGCUUGCAUUGAUUACGUCCCUGCCCUUUGUACACACCGCCCGUCGCACCUACCGAUUGAAUGGUCCGGUGAAAUCUUCGGAUCUGAGAGAUGUCUGAUUAAUUUCGGACGCCUUUUGAAAAAGUUGUUUAAACCUUACCAUUUAGAGGAAGGUGAAGUCGUAACA
rnacentral:rRNA from 1 species